GCGGGAGGCUUAAACAUGCAAGUCGAGGGGUCGGUAGCAAUACCGGAGACCGGCGCACGGGUGAGUAACGCGUAUGCAACCUGCCCUUUACAGGGGGAUAGCCCGUCGAAAGGUGGAUUAAUACCCCAUAAGAUAGUACCCUCGCAUGAGGGAGCUAAUAAAGCUUCGGCGGUAAAGGAUGGGCAUGCGUGACAUUAGCUAGUUGGUAGGGUAACGGGCUACCAAGGCUACGAUGUCUAGGGGUUCUGAGAGGAAGGUCCNNCCNUCUGGUACUGAGACACGGACCAGACUCCUACGGGAGGCAAGCAGUNGAGGAAUAUUGGUCAAUGGCGCGAGCCUGAACCAGCCUCCCGCGUCCAGGAAGACGGCCUAUGGGUU
rnacentral:rRNA from 1 species